UUUUUAGUAUAAGUAUGUCCCAUGCAAUAUUUGAAACAUACUUAUACUAUAA
rfam:Loxodonta africana unplaced genomic scaffold scaffold_84, whole genome shotgun sequence.